rnacentral:rRNA from 1 species
UACGAGGGGGGCGAGCGUUGUUCGGAAUUAUUGGGCGUAAAGGGUGCGUAGGCGGCCUGACAAGUCUGAUGUGAAAUCCCUGGGCUCAACCCAGGGCCUGCAUCGGAAACUGUCGGGCUUGAGUAUGGGAGAGGUGAGUGGAAUUUCCGGUGUAGCGGUGAAAUGCGUAGAUAUCAGGAAGAACACCCGUGGCUAAGGCGGCUCUCUAGUACGGUACUGACGCUGAGACGCGAAAGCGUGGGGAGCGAACAGG